rnacentral:rRNA from 1 species
GACAGAGGUGCCGAGCGUUAGGCGGAAUCACUGGGCUUAAAGCGUGUGUAGGCGGGUCGUUAAGUGUCUUGUGAAAUCCCACCGCUCAACGGUGGAACUGCUGGGCAUACUGGCGAUCUUGAGCCACCUAGGGGCAGACGGAACAAGCGGUGGAGCGGUGAAAUGCGUAGAUAUCGGAAGGAACGUCGGUGGCGAAAGCGGCGCGCUGGACCUCUUCUGACGCUGAGGCGCGAAAGCCAGGGGAGCAAACGGG